CUUUACCUCUCACGGUUCAAUGCUUGCGCACCGUGGUUCCUUGCCGACUUGCCGUCAGUGGGGGUGCCUGAUCGACGACGCUCUCUUGGAGUUCAAGGACAUCUGUUUCUUCUCAGUACUCGAUUUCAUGCUCAGGUUCACGUUUUCUCUACCGCUCGCUCUCGCUCUCGCUCUCGCUCUCAGACUCGUGCUCCAGAAGUCUUCCUUCGAAAUCUUCAACGGUAAUUUUUCAAUUUAUCCAAUAUCCUGUAAAUAAUCUUUCUAGUGCUUGUAUAUUUUUCUGGAAUGAUGGAAAAGGAAAUGGCUCUCGUGAGAUUUCUUCUUGCUUUGCUUUCACACUUUUGAGUUUAUUCUCAUUACUGUCUUAUAUUAGAGCCAAAUCACUAGUUAAGCAUAGGUCAAUGUCUAGUAUCCUAGGCUUUCCUCUGUUCUGUUUUGUGGCUUGCUGAAGAUGGGUGGUUGUCCCUUAUAGUUUUGUAAGGGGCUGUGGACUUUAUAAUUGUGUUGUUUUGAAAUAGUGGUUUGUUGUUUUUUGCUGUGCUGAGGGACAAAGAAAUUUCUAUUCUUGAAGGUUUUGUUUCUGGAAGAGAGUCUUGUGGGUUUCUAGUUGGCUAAGGCCUUUGUUUUGUGUUUUUCCUUUUCUUCCUUUUGUGCUGUGCUUUGUGAAUUUUCAAGUUGCAGGCUAGCCACUAAGGGCAUAUUGGUGUGAGGUUGGGUGCCAAAUAUGCGGGGUCUGUCCAAGUUGGUUCUUAUCACAUUUUAUCUGCGUGCUCUACUACGGCUGGAUCUCGCCACAGUGCCUACUUGCAUAUCUUAUUUGCCAUCUUGUGCACUGAGGAUUCCUUCCAACCUUUUCAAUACAUUCAUGCUACAAUGUCCGUGGAUCCAUUAUGAUCACUGUGCUGUCAAGUAAAGGUUUCUCUUAUGUUUGAUUUUGCAUGAUAUAAUUAGGCAAGCAUGAGCCUGGCCUUUUCUUAUUCUGAAUAAGGCUAAUCUUUGGAAGAGUUAAAAUCCUCUGAAGGCCUUCAAUCAGCUUCAAGAUGCUGCAAAGACAAGCAUCAUGUAUAGGUUGUUACAAGGAUAUGUUAAUAAAGCUGACAAAACUAGUGUAGUAGCUUGGGAAGGAACUCGACAAAGGACAAGUAGAGGGAAGGACUUUGAAGGAAGUAUUGAGACCAAUUGAUGACGGGUCUAAUUAAUCUGAAACUCCCAACAAAGAAGUUCUAGCAACUCCCAACAAAGCACCAGCGGCAACCCCACUAGCUAUGAAGAAUUCAGAAUUGCUAACCCAGAUAAAUCUUGCUCUAAAAGAUCUAUAAAAGACAAAAGAACAAUUGAGAAGCUAAAAGAAGCACAAAGAGUAACUAAGGAAGCAAAUGAGAAACUUAUGGAGGCAUUGGUGGCUAAAAAACGGGUUGAGGAAGAUUCUUAAAUUGAGAAGCUCCGCAGUUUUGAAUCCGGACAUGCUGGAAUUGAAGCUAUUCAAAAGAUGGAAGAGGAUGGUAAAAAGAGCUUUGAAGGUGUAAGGAACCAGCAUGCUUACUAUGUGGCUUGAAAAUAAGUAACUUUUUUAGGGAAACUCUAAGUAAUUUUGGUAUUUUUUGUAUAGUUGUGAUCUUUAUGAAUUACAUGAAGCUUGUUGUUAAUGAAGAGUUGAUUCUUGAUUAAUGUUAUUUUCAUAUUUUGUUA